rnacentral:rRNA from 1 species
CGAUUCUGGCUCAGGAUGAACGCUAGCUACAGGCUUAACACAUGCAAGUCGAGGGGCAGCAUGAAGGUAGCUUGCUACCUUGAUGGCGACCGGCGCACGGGUGAGUAACGCGUAUCCAACCUGCCCGCUACUCGGGUAUAGCCCAGUGAAAACUGGAUUAAUCCCCGAUGGCAUCUUACGCUGACAUCAAAGUAAGAUUAAAGGUUACGGUAGCGGAUGGGGAUGCGUCCGAUUAGCUAUGUUGGCGGGGUAACGGCCCACCAAGGCGACGAUCGGUAGGGUUCUGAGAGGAACGGUCCCCCACAUUGGAACUGAGACACGGUCCAAACUCCUACGGGAGGCAGCAGGUGGGGAAUAUUGGACAAUGGGGGAAACCCUGAUCCAGCGAACCGCCGCGUGAGUGAAGAAGUAUUUCGGUAUGUAAAGCUCUAUCAGCAGGGAAGAUGAUGACGGUACCUGACUAAGAAGCACCGGCUAAAUACGUGCCAGCCGCCGC